AUAAAAAACACUAAAGCCGAUCUGCAGUUCAACUGGCAUCGUGUUGAUUUUGUAUGUUUUAUCUGUUUCAUAUGCAUAAUUUAGUCAAAAGUACUAUUUAUUAUAAUGAAAUUGUUAAAUACUUCUUGCGAACGUUUCUAAACUCUCUAAUAUAUAAGAGUUUGUAAAUUAUGCUUUACUUGUUUUUGAAAACUGGCCAUUGAACGUUUUCACCAAGGAAAAUAAGAGUAGGGCAUGAUUUUGAGCCAAGAAUCAUCAAUCCGAAUUAAUUUGUGCUGAAAGUUUCUGCCUUGUUUAUGAGUAACGUAGUGAUAGGGGAAUUGCUUUAUCAACAGCAGUUAUCUUUUUGUAUCAAUCAUUCAUACAUUAAUUUAUCUUUUUGAAUCGUAUUGACGUAUCUAAUAACAUAAUAAAAGGACCACAGUUAUCAAUAUUUUUUGCGAGAUAAGAAGAAAAACAGUGGGCGCAUAAAAUGUAGAAUCGGCAGACACCUGGGUGCACAGGGAGACGUACAAUUUCAUAGAUUAUUUAAAAAAAACAAAUUCUGAUCGUUAUUUGGUUAUUUUAGGGCGUGGAAACUGGCUAAAACUUUUUAGAAACGUGUGAAGAUAACAUACAAUCAUGCAUAUAUUUUAACAUACAAUAGGCUGAUAUUUAAAAAAAGGGAUAGAGAGAUGACCAAGAUGUUUUUCAAUAUAUAUUUUAGGGGGGGUGGGGGAUAGUCCAGAGAUAUGAAGAUUGGUUUAAAGCUGAACAUGACUCAUAAUAAGGGAUCGUUACACAGGUAUAAUUAUAAACAUAAUAUAUCAUUGCUGCAAGGCAUAUCAAUAAAUUAAGUCACU
rnacentral:sRNA from 1 species